AGACCCCGGCUCACCUGGAUCUGCGCCCGGAAGUGUGGCAGCGGCUCCUGCAGCCUGGCACCACAGAGGUGCGCACCACAAGACAGAGCGACCUGCCAGGAGCUCCAUCGCCACCUGCCGGCGCCUGGGUGGAAGUUCCGCAAGAAACCAAGGGUUGGCACGUCUGAUGGGACAUAUAAUAAUUCGGAAUUAGGGGCAAGGGACCAAGGAUUACAGAAGAUUGAGGCAGGAAGACUGCUACAAAUUCAAAGCCAGCCUGGACUACAGAGUAAGACCCUAUCCCAAAAAAACAACACAAGAAGAAUAAGAUGAUUGAUCACAAGUAUGGCAAGCAUGUGGAAAAAUUGGAACCUUCAUGGACUGCUGGCACAGCAGUUUUGGAAAACAGGCUGGGGGUCCUGAACAGAGUAAAGAGAAAGCAAGCUGAGCAUUAGCAAGUAUUCAUUCCUCUCCUGACUUCAGACUUAAAGUGAUCAGCUGCUUCAUGUUCCUGCCCCUACAGCUUCCCAGCCAUGAUGAACUGUAACCUGGAAAUGUGAGUUAAAUAAAC